GUUUUGCGUGACUGAUGGUAGUGGAGCUCUUUUUAGGCGGGCUUUUUUGCCCGACUAGAAAAGCGGGAACGUACAGCAGGACCCGAA
rnacentral:sRNA from 1 species